UACGGAAGGCAGCAGUGGGGAAUAUUGCACAAUGGGCGAAAGCCUGAUGCAGCUAUGCCGCGUGUAUGAAGAAGGCCUUAGGGUUGUAAAGUACUUUCAUCGGGGAGGAAAAAACAAAACUAAUAAUUUUAUUUCUUGACGUUACCCGAAAAAGAAGCACCGGCUAACUCCGUGCCAGCAGCCGCGGUAAUACGGAGGGUGCUAGCGUUAAUCAGAAUUACUGGGCGUAAAGAGCACGUAGGUGGUUUUUUUAAAGUCAGAUGUGAAAUCCCUGGGCUUAACCUGGAACUGCAUUUUGAAACUGAAAUACUAGAGUAUCGUAGAGGGAGGUAGAAUUCUAGGUGUAGCGGUGAAAUGCGUAGAUAUCUGGAGGAUACCUGUGGCGAAAGCGGCCUCCUAAACGAAUACUGACACUGAGGUGCGAAAGCGUGGGGAGCAAACAGGGAUUAGAUACC
rnacentral:rRNA from 1 species